ACCUUAGGCCCAAAUCUCAAACAUAACCACACUUGGGUUGGGUUGGGUUGAACCAAAAGGUCCAAAACUUAGGGAAAAAAAAAACGAAUUAUUCAUUUUUAUUCAUUAAUAUUAGGUUUUUUUUAUUAUCAAAUUGGAUUAUUCAUUAAAUUGAAUUAUUAUUAAAGUGGAUUAUUAUUAAAUUGGAUUAUUAUCAAAAAGGAAUAUUAUUCUUCACUAUGUUUUAUAUUAGGAUUAUUUUCAUGAAACAUAAUUAUCAUCAUUUAUAGUAGGAUUAUUUAUAUUAGGAUUAUUAUCAAAAAGGAAUAUUAUUCAUCAUUUAUAUUAGGAUUAUUUUUUUAUCAAAUUGGAUUAUUAUUCAUUAAUAUUAGGUUUUGUUAUUAUCAAAUUGGAUUAUUAUUCAUUAAAUUAGAUUAUUAUAAAAUUGGAUUAUUAUU
rnacentral:lncRNA from 1 species